UGUGCUGAGAGCCGCCUCAUUGUGUGGUCGCUCAGGGUCUGGACGCUCCGUCACUCCGUGGAUCAGUGGAUCAGUGGAUUUAUCCCCGGAGGAUUUACCGUGGAAAUUACCGGAAGGUUUGGAUUAACGGCGGCGGAGCGGGCUCGUGUCUGCAGGAUGUCUUCACGUGGACACGCCGAGAUUUCUGAGCAGAGGAGUUGAUCAGGGUUGAAACUACAUUUGAAGUAGGGCUUCUUCUUCUUCUCUUCCUGGAUUUGGACCUUUCUCCUUCACUGAUUGGCUGUGCUGCCCUGAAGCUGCUUGUGAUUGGACAAUCCCAAAUUCAAGCUGACGUCGGCCAUGACUUGCUGACAUUACCCCCUCCUCCCUCCUCCACCCCCCCCCC